UACAGAGGUCUCAAGCGUUGUUCGGAUUCAUUGGGCGUAAAGGGUGCGUAGGCGGCGCGGUAAGUCGGGUGUGAAAUUUCGAGGCUUAACUUCGAAACUGCAUUCGAUACUGCCGUGCUCGAGGACUGGAGAGGAGACUGGAAUUUACGGUGUAGCGGUGAAAUGCGUAGAUAUCGUAAGGAACACCAGUGGCGAAGGCGGGUCUCUGGACAGUUCCUGACACUGAGGCACGAAGGCCAGGGGAGCAAACGGG
rnacentral:rRNA from 1 species